AAGCUUAACUGGUAGAGCCCUUGGCGCGUAACCGAGAGAUCUGGGUUCGAUUCCCAGUCUG
rnacentral:tRNA from 1 species